AUUGAACGCUGGCGGCAGGCCUAACACAUGCAAGUCGAACGAGUGGCGGACGGGUGAGUAAUGUCUGGGAAACUGCCUGAUGGAGGGGGAUAACUACUGGAAACGGUAGCUAAUACCGCAUACCAUCAGAUGUGCCCAGAUGGGAUUAGCUAGUUGGUGGGGUAACGGCUCACCAAGGCGACGAUCCCUAGCUGGUCUGAGAGGAUUACUCGCCACACUGUGACGGAGAGACGGUCCAGACUCCUACGGGAGGCAGCAGUGGUGAAUAUUGCACAAUGGGUGCAAGCCGGAUGCAGCCAUGCCGCGUGUAUGAAGAAGGCCUUCGGGUGGGAAAGUACUUUCAGCGGGGAGGCGUUACCCGCAGAAGAAGCACCGGCUAACUACGUGCCAGCAGCCGCGUUAAUUC
rnacentral:rRNA from 1 species